rnacentral:rRNA from 1 species
AUAUUAAUAAGCGGAGGAAAAGAAACUAACAAGGAUUCCCUUAGUAACGGCGAGUGAAGCGGGAAUAGCUCAAAUUUGAAAUCUCCAGGGGCGACCUUGGCGAAUUGUAGUUUAGAGAAGCGCUUUCUGGGAGGGAAGCUGUCCAAGUUCUUUGGAACGAGACAUCAGAGAGGGUGAGAAUCCCGUAUCUGGCGGCUGGUAACCUUCCUCUACGGGGCGUUUUCAACGAGUCGGGUUGUUUGGGAAUGCAGCCCAAAACUGG